UAGAGACGGGGUUUCACCAUGUUAGCCAGGAUGGUCUCGAUCUCCUGACCUCGUGAUGCGCCCACCUCGGCCUCCGAAAGUGCUGGGAUUACAGGCGUGAGCCACCGCGCCCGGCCGCAGAACUCACUUCUAACUAUGAGGGUCGAGGUGGGCUUCACAGAGGAGGUGGGCUUUGAGCCACGCCUGCAGCCCGGCAUCUGGAAGUGGCUUCUGGGCUCUCCCUGAGCUCUCUCCUCUGCAGGACACCCCUGCCUGCAGGGGGUCUUGGCUCACCGGACUUUGCCACCAGAGAGGGUUGGGGAGCUCCACACGAAGGCAAGGAGGCCGGGGCUCCGGGGGUGACUCGUCCCCGGAGGGCGACCAGAAAGGCCGUCGGAGUGCGGCGCAGCCCGCACUGUCCUCGCUGAACACCUGGUCCUGCCCUGGACAGCGACUGCUUCCCCUCCAGGGUGGCCCCGUCGUCCCCCCGUCAUCCCCCACGUGCUCCAACAGCAGCGAGACUUUCCCAAGACAAGUUGGAGGCUUCAGAGCUCUUGGGGGUGGUGGCUUCUCCCAGUAGCCCCAUAUCUGUCAGUCCCCCCAUAAGGGAGGGGGGUGACAAGCUCCUCCUUGCUCCCAGAGUGAGGAUCGCCCCUGCUUUUCCGGCCCCCACUUGCCCCCUCCACCUGCCCUUUUCCCUCCGGGGAGCCCUGGAGGUUUUCCAAGAACUCUCCGGGUCGAGGGGGCAGCCUGUGCUGGGUGGUGGGGGGCUCCUGCCUGCUGGAUGCCAGACACCUCCACCUUUCACCCUGGGGGUCCAGUCGACUGAUGGCCAUGAGAGAGAAGCUGAGAGCAACCGCAGCCCACAGCUCCACGCUGGCCCCCCAUCUGCAAACGCUGGGCCCCAUGGGAGCUGUGACUCAGUUUCCCGUUUGUCACGGGGCUGGCUGAGGCCCCGGCGAGUGCCAGCCAUGUCAGGUUGGGCAGGAAUGUGGCCCGUGUUCACGUGUGUCUCUGUGUGUGUGAGAGAGAGAGAGGCGUCAGCUGGGAUGCUGGGGUGGCAGAGACAGUCCGGGCUCACCCCUCAGCCUCCCUCGACCUCGACUCCCCCCACAUACGGAGCCACCCCCUUCCUGGCUAUCGCAGGAGUUGAGCUUCCUCUGCUGGGAGGGCUUUGUCGGAGGUUCCCUGUGGUUCCAGAAGGAAAGCUGGCUGCAGGGAGGGCCGGGCACUGGGCACCGUGUGGCUGAGCCUCUGGUGGGGGCUGCACCUCUGGUGGGGGCUGCACCGCUGGGUUCCCAGACCCCCUCUUUGCCCCCCCGCCCCCACUGCACUGGGAGGACCUGCUGAGGGGCCAGAAUCUGGCUUCGGGUCCCACGGGUGGGGGCGGGGCCCCUCAUUAGCACUGCAGCUGACACUGAGGGCUUCCACCUCACUAAUUGAUUAAACUGUUUAGAAACCAGGCCGGCGUGGUGGGAAUCGGCCCCAGCCGGGCCGUCCGCUCCCCUUCUGUGCAGGCAGCGGCCCCUGGAGUUCACCCGUCAGGCGCGUUGGUGGGGUCUCGGCCCUGGCCGCCCUCGGGAACCCUUCUUCGCUGCUUUGUGUGGUCCAAAGUGGUCCUGAGAGGCGCUGGUGAGACCCUGGGGUUCUCUCCUCCCCGACCACUCACUGGGCGAGCAUGGAGGGCGGCCUGCUGUGCACGGGCAUGUUCCCGGGAACCCGCCUGCUGGGAUUAAACCAGCCCUUGUGAAGGAUGGCAGGUGGGUUCCUCAUUACCAGCAGGGGCACGGGGCUGUGAGCAGAGGCCCAGGAAGCAGCGCCCAGAGGCCCGAGAGCCUUCUGCUGUCCUGGGAUUUUCUGCGCUGUGACCUCAGCCUCUUCCUUCCUCUCCUGUGGGAUUCCCCCAACACCCCUUCCCCUCAUGCCAUUCCUUCCCCACCAUGCUCCACGCCUGCCCUCCCCAGUGCCCCCUACCCCCAGGUCUUCCCUCUAGGACAUCAGCCCAGGCUCAGUCCCAGGAUAAGGGCUGAGCCUUGGUUCCCAGUGCAGCCCCUGUGCCAGCACGCAGUGGGUGCUGCCCCCGCCGGAGGAGCGGCCUGGGGCCUGGUCAGCCCUGCUGGUGUCUGGCCUGCAGCCAGCACGGGCUCUGCCAUUCACCCUUGGUUCUAGGUGGGUGCCCACCCAGGCAACCUCGGAGCAGAGUGGGCUGGGCUCCGGAGGUGGGGGCGGCCACUAACAGCAGGAGGUCGUGGCAGUGCAGCUAUGGCAGGGGUUCUGAGGGGCAGAAGCCAGGAGCGGGACAUGGGGACGCAGACCUGCAGGAGGACGCCGGCUCACCCAGCGGGGAGGGGAUGGCUGCCCAGGGACCCUGAGCUGCCUGCUCUGCUCCCCCCACUGCUGGGACAGGGGCCCCACGGGGGAUGCCAGGGAACGUGAGGAAUCCGGAGUCAACACUGGGCCACUGUGUGCUGCCACCCGGGCGGGCCGUGGUUUAUAAAAACAGCGGAGGCUUGGCUGGUAUCAGGGCGGUGAGGUCACGGCGGCUGGGGGCUCUGGAAUUUCUUCAGAAGAAUUUUGCUUACCAAGCCACAUACUUUCCUGGCCAUCAGCUUGAUCAGGGGCAAGAUGAAAAAUAUGCUAAACAACAAAGAAACAAAAAAGCACCCAGGCUCCGGUGAGGGAGGGGCGCUGUGGGAGGGGCGGAGGGCCCAGGGAGGGUGAGGGGCCGGGAGCCACUCUGCCCAGCACUCUCCGCCGAGAGAGCCCAACGCCCCUUCCUUUCCCCUUUUAGCACUGCUGAGCGGGACUCACGUGUCCAACAAGGAGCUUUACUAAAAACCGAGGCAAUAAAGAAAACACAAAUGACAUAAAAA